rnacentral:lncRNA from 1 species
GUCACACUGAGGAUCCUUUCCCUCCCCUCCUUGCUAUCUUAUGAAGGUACAACAAUCUGAUACUUCAUCCCACUUUCCUAUAAAGCCUGAUGUGUAUGUGAAGUAGAGGGUUUGUUCGUUCAAACCUUUGCGAGGCUUUGGAUUCAGAAUCCUUUGGAGAUUUGAUCUCUAUUCUGCUGUGAAUCAAGUAAAAGAUAAAAUCUUUGUUAAUAUAUUAUAAAAAAAUUUUAGA